rnacentral:lncRNA from 1 species
AAAUUGGUUUCCAACGAAUAUUAACGAAUCCCCAGUAUAGGUCCACAAAUUCCUUCAUCAUCACUGUAUUCAACGCCAGAAGGAAUUAGACAUUAUAGGAGGAGGUAAUAGUUUGCCUUGUACUGAUGCACCCUCAAAAUUGAUAUGUGCAUGCAUAUUUUCAGUCACUGAUGUUGAUUGUCUUACAACCACAUAUGUAUGUGUAAUUGCCCCUUAAAUA